GUUUAUCACCAUUCCAGAUUGAAUAUACCCGAUCUCGUCUGAUCUGGGAAGUCAAGCAAUCUCGGGCUUGGUUAGUACUUGGAUGGGUGACC
rnacentral:rRNA from 1 species